UUUUACCCCAACCUUCUACCAGCCUGUUUCUCUAUCCCGCCGGCUCCUCUACCCAUCAACCUCCUCCACGACCUCAUCCCAGCCUCUUUCUCUAUCCCAUGGAUCUCACGGUUUGCAGCAACAAGCCAACAACAACUCUCAAGGCUCAACUCAGGGUUUCAAAGAAAUCAAUGGAAAUAUGGAAUCAAAGCUUUUACUUGCAAAAUCAAGGCAAGGCUGUGCGAAGCAGAGGUGUGGUCAGGGGCGGUGUCGCCGGGGCUGCGCCGCUGCGGUCGUGAGAGACAGAGAGAGGUCAGAGGAGAAGGAGGGAGGUAAGAAAUCAGAGAAGAGAUCAAAAUGGAAAAAUCAAAUCAAAGCUGAUAGUGGCAGGCGACGGCGGCGGCGGGCGACGAAGGACGGAAGGUUGAGACUCUUAUGCAGCUAUUCUUUGCAAAUGCAUUUGAGGAUUAUUUCAGACAUGGAUCCAAGUCGGAGCUGGGCUGCGCAUAUUGUUUGUUUGGAAGAGGAAGGUGGUUCUGGCUACAGGGGCAACUGGAUGAUGGGUUCAAGUGGAGAAAGUAUGGAAAGAAGAUGGUGAAAAAAAAUCUCAAUCCAAAGUAUAUAUGCUUCUAAUAUUGUUUAGUAAUAGCACUGCAUUUUUUAAGAAGAUGAUGAUAACUUCCUCCAUCAGCUACACAAACACUGUUGUUGUUCACCUUAAUGAGUUCCCUUGGGCUUCCUUUGAUCAUUAUUUGGAAGACAAGGGAAGAGUAAUCCGAGUCUUAUUUCCAAAAAAAUCAACAACCGAGCAGCUUAACCAGGGUGACUGAGGAAGUGGUGAAUGAAGCUGAAAAGAAUAUUGGUGAUGAGAAGCCUGCAGGCGAGGAAGAGGUAGCAGAUGUAAACAAGGAAAACCCUGUUAAUGAAACAGUGAGGGGCCUCUAUACUUUCAUAUUAGUAAAACAGGAGAGGAGUCCCUGAGCAAGGUAGAUGAGCUGCUUACAAAAUUAUGGGAAUUUGCUGAUUGUCCACGUGAAGCUACUUUAUCUCAAUGGUGAGUGCUCCUUCAUCAAUGGAUCGUUGCUCCCUGGGAGUAUCAGUAAAAGAGAAAGGUAGCAUGCUCUAGCUCUUUGUUAUUAUGGAGCAGGUAAGGACAUGGUAGCACUGACUCUUCUCAGAAAUUUUUUGAGUAGUAGAGCAACAUAUCUACCUCUGAUUUUACACUGUUAACAAAGCCUGACAUUGUCUGCUCAGAGAGAUAAGCCUUCAUCAAACUUUGUAGUUAGAUUGUUCAUGUUUUUUGUUUUUAUUGUGAGAUGAUAACUUCUGAUUCAUGAUGCUUGCUAUCUGUUUAAGCAUGCACAGAACUAACCUUUAAUUGAGGUAGUGUUUUCUAUAUAAAUUAGACUAUAGCAUAACAUGUGAAUCCUUUUCUACAUUUGGUGCAUAUUUGUAAAGAAUAGAGCAAAGAAUUACAUUAGACAAUGUUUGGCCAAACUUCUCCAUCAAUAUUUUGAGAUGCUUUCAGCGUCAUUAUGUAAAUACACUACAGAUGUUGAGGAUACGAUAACUGGAUUCAGAGGAGAGGUGGCAAACUGUUUGAGAUGGUGAGACAUUCUUCCCACUUUAUUGUUUGUAAACAGAUUGGAGAGGGUUUUCAAGUGUGAAAAUAGCAUGUAGGUUUUCUGCCCUUUUCAUACUUUCUGAUAUAUUUUGCGGAGGCCUUUAACCUACACAAGUAAAAACUUGUGUAGAGUUGCACAAGCCACUUUUUACCUAUCAUAGCAGGUUUUCAGAUUUUUUUUUUAAAAAAUAAUUCAAAAACAUAUUUAUUAGUGUAUUAGUGAAUUAGUUAAUUCAGGAUUUAGGUUAAUCUCAUCACCAUCUUCAACCUUCUUUCAUCAUAUAUCUUCAUCAUCUAACAUCAAAAAAAUCCAUGAAACUAAAUUUAUUCACAUCAAUUUUAUCAUUCUUGCAUAACUUUUAUUCCCCAACAACAACAAAAACUGAAAAAAAACAAAUUAUUUAUUAUCAUCCACAUAAUUCCAGAUUCAACAACACAUUACAAUCAAUAACAAAAAACAAGAAUAGAGGAUGAUGGUAAGGUUCACGUUUUCUGUACAACUUGGAAAAAGAAAAAAAAAAAAGACAAGAACCCAGGGGAGGUUCACGAACAACUGGAAGGAGAAGACUCCGUCCAUUUUUUUUUCCUGUUUGUUUUCCUGUGUGUUUUCAGGAGGAAGGAGAAGACUCGGACCAUGGCUGGGUAAUCUCCGCCGCUGGGCAGGUCAUGAGGUUGAAGAUCAACAGCGAAGAUUCCAAAUCUGGGGCGGAUCGAUUGAGGUUCGGGGUGGGAGGGGUGCUGCACGGUAUGGCAGGGAAAGAGAUAGAGGGGUAGAGAAGGAGAUUGUGGAAGGGAAGGUCGCAAACCCCCAACCCCACCAAACCCACAACCAACCUCACCCCAUAACCACCCCCACCGCAACCCAGACCAGCAAACCACAGCCCACUCGAACCCAGAACCCACGCACACCCAACCUCACCCCAUCCCCAACGCAACCCACAGUGCAAAUCGACCCCCACCCCAGAUUUGAAACCCAACCCGCCGCUCUGCUCCGCCGUCGUCACCCAACCCCCAGAUCUGAAGUUGAAGUUGUGGGUUUUUUGGAAGCAGAUUUGAAGGUGUGGAAGGGAAAGGAUGAUCAAAGAUGGGAAAGGAUGACCAGAGAGAAAAUAUUAAAGGACAUGAGAACAAGAUUUGAAGGGUGGUCGAAGGGAAAUGAUGACCACAGAUUUGAAUUUGAAGGGUGACGGUGGUGAAGUUGAAGAUGAGAGAGAAGAUGAAAUGUGUGUGAGAGAAAGGGUGUGUGAUUAAAGGAUAAUUGAUUAAUUAAUAAAAUAAGUUUUUUGAAUUAUUUUUUUAUAAAAAAAACCGGAAAACCUACACUAACAGGUAAAAAGUGACUUGUGUAACUAUGCACAAGUUUUUACUUGUGCAUAUUAAAGAUUUCCAUAUUUUGCACCUAAUUUUUUAUGUUUUUCUUGAGUGGCUUGGUUGAGUUUUGUUCUACAAUUGAAAACCAAAGAAAAGAUAGGAGGAAGGAGAGGGAGCCUUAUCGAUUUAUUUAUUCACAAUAAGUUUGAGGAAAGCAUAUUGAAAUCUGAAGAAAUAUUAGAAGAAAUAAUCACCUCCAUUGAUUUUGAUUUAUUUUUAGGCCAACUACCCUUGCUUUGCAUACUAGAAAAAAUAUAUUUGGUUUGGUUGGAUGAGAUCAUCCUAAUGCAUCAAAUUCACUUGCUACUAUUACACAUUCUAAUGUUUCUCUCUUUUCAGUUUUCAUUCUCCACGCACCUCUACAUUGCUUCUUGAAAUCUGGAUUUUUUCAUGGAUACCAGAGGGAACUGAGAAGUUAAUCAUACAUUCAAGAAGUAGUUCUCUCAUGUUGUCGAACUGACAUUAUAUACUGCUCUGCUCUAUGAUUUUAAUGCACAGAUCCUCCUCAGGGAUAACCUUGAAGCUAAUCUCGCAAGGUAUUCCCAUGCCUUCCUUUCCCAUCAACACCAAAAAAAUCAAUCCAAGUAUAGUCGGCAAUUCCCCCACACCAUACUGUCAACUAUAAAGCAAUUGAACUUUUUGCUUUAGGUUUUAGUUUUAAGUUGCUUUACAUUGAACUGUGACCCAUAGGACUUUUAUUGCAAAUUGUAAUUGGAGCUGUGAGCUUACAUGGAAGUUUCUUCAAGUGUGAAAACAUGAUGUUGAUUGGGUUGCCACCAGAUCUGUUUCAUGUCUGGGAUUUGUUAAAGCUAUCAUGCUCUCUCCUUUGCCAGGUACAGUAAGCUAUAUGACAAAUAUGGGAAGCAAAAUGAGGCAUGAGAGAAUAUUUGAAGCAUUUCAAGUUAUAGGUACCUACAAGAUUGGUAGUAUAAUGUAUAACAAGGAGAACAUUUAAUGUGUUUCAAGUGGUUUUAAGAUUGGUCGUAUAAGAUUUCAAGCUUUUUUAGGCUCUGAUAUCAAAUUGUAUUUCUGUUUAUAUUUUAAUUAUUUUGAAUAUUGAAGUGUUU